UACGGGGGGGGCAAGCGUUGUUCGGAAUUACUGGGCGUAAAGGGCUUGUAGGUGGCCAACUAAGUCCGACGUGAAAUCCCUAGGCUUAACCUAGGAACUGCGUCGGAUACUGGAUGGCUUGAAUCCGGGAGAGGGAUGCGGAAUUCCAGGUGUAGCGGUGAAAUGCGUAGAUAUUGGGAGGAACACCAGUGGCGAAGGCGGCUCACUGGACCGGUACUGACGCUGAGGCGCGAAAGCGUGGGGAGCAAACAGG
rnacentral:rRNA from 1 species